UCCUGCCGUCUCCCUCGGUGCCUGUUUACUCUGUGACACUGCACCUCCCGCCACACUGUGACACCCAGAGGAUCAUGGGAUUGCUGCGAGAGACACUUCACAUGAUCACCUAUGCGCAGUCAAAACGACGGCAGCUGUCACGCAGAGAUCUUCACUCACUGCAUCUGAAGCAGGAUAACUUCCUGCAGACACUCAAGUUGAAAACAAGUCAUUUUAAAACGUAUCUGCACACCUGAAUCUUUGACAGACACUCGUGAUGCAAAGCUAUGCAACACUUUGUCUCUGCACUUCACUCUGCGGAUCAUCGCUGCAGCAUCGUAUCAAUUAUACGUAGAGGAAAACUACAUUUAACUGCCUUCAUAACUGCACUAUUAAUACCAAUAAACGACAG